UACAGAGGGUGCAAGCGUUGUUCGGAAUUAUUGGGCGUAAAGCGCGUGUAGGCGGCUUUGCAAGUCGGGUGUGAAAGCCCUCAGCUCAACUGAGGAAGUGCGCCCGAAACUGCAGAGCUUGAGUGCCGGAGAGGGUGGCGGAAUUCCCCAAGUAGAGGUGAAAUUCGUAGAUAUCGGGAGGAACACCAGUGGCGAAGGCGGCGAUCUGGGAAGAUACUGACGCUGAGGUGCGAAAGCGUGGGGAGCGAACAGG
rnacentral:rRNA from 1 species